AAACAAAAAAAAAGAAAAAAAAGAGAAAAAAAAGAAAAAAAGUAGAAAAAAAAAUAGAUGACUAUGGCUCACCCUCCUUUCCAA
rnacentral:rRNA from 13 species